AUUGAACGCUGGCGGCAUGCCUUACACAUGCAAGUCGAACGGCAGCACGGGGGCAACCCUGGUGGCGAGUGGCGAACGGGUGAGUAAUGCAUCGGAACGUGCCCAGUAGUGGGGGAUAACUAGUCGAAAGAUUAGCUAAUACCGCAUACGACCUAUGGGUGAAAGCGGGGGAUUCGCAAGAACCUCGCGCUAUUGGAGCGGCCGAUGUCUGAUUAGCUAGUUGGCGGGGUAAAAGCCCACCAAGGCGACGAUCAGUAGCUGGUCUGAGAGGACGACCAGCCACACUGGGACUGAGACACGGCCCAGACUCCUACGGGAGGCAGCAGUGGGGAAUUUUGGACAAUGGGCGCAAGCCUGAUCCAGCCAUGCCGCGUGCGGGAAGAAGGCCUGG
rnacentral:rRNA from 1 species